rnacentral:sRNA from 1 species
UUUAUUACCCUACUCUGUCUCGUGAACCCUCACCACCAGUUCUUCUCGCAGUGGUCUCUGUCAAAGACUGCCGCACGGUACACCAGAAGCAAGGGGAAGGAUCCCAUCCACGCAGUCCUU